AUUAUAGAUUAAUUAAUUAUGAUUAGAUUAUUAAGUGGUAAAUAUUUAAGUGAGUUGGGAGGCAAAUGAAUUAACGUGAGAAAUUUUAGGGGCAUGAUUUCCAGAUGUGGACCCAAUAUGGAUUGGUUACAUUUUCAGAUUUAGUGUACAAGCUAAAUGUUUGGCAUGUGUAUUAUUUUAUUCACAUGGAAGGAACACAACAUCAUUUGAAAUUGUCAAGGAAAGUUGCAUGCGUAUUAAAAGAUGUAGUGGCAUGGUGGGCCAAAAGUUGACACAUGUAAAGCUAAAGAGGUGAUUUAAAGUGUCUAUAUCUUGUCUUAACUUUUCAUUAAGGAAUAUAGCUAGCUGAAACCUUAUUUCAUAGGGACACAGCAAAAACGUGAUUUUCAAGUAAAUUUUGUAGCACGUCGCUUGCAAUUGCAAAGAAUGAAAAUAUAAUUCAUUACAAGGACAUCAUACGGAUUUUGCACACUUUGUUCUAUUUUAUCACGUUGUUAAAUUCGGGCUUUUUUUUCCCGAAGGGAAGUAAGGUGGAAGAAGAUCAUUUCUUGGCAUAUAAGGUAAGAACUAUUCUCUACUAGAUAUAUUUAAGUUCGUUGAAGUCAUGGCUAAAUUGUGGGAUGAGAAAUACGGAAUUAAUUACAUGUGUAAUUGGAUAAAUAUGGAGUAUAGUGGAGAUAUUAAUUAGGGGUGGAUAAAGUGUUAGUCCAACACUUCCACGCGGCACGUUUGGCAUAGAGUGACUAUGCUUUCUGAUAUGCAGGUGGUGGCUUCCUAUGUAAUAACAAUUCUUUUGUGAAUUGAUUGUACGUGGAUCUCACUGUCCACUAAAACACAUAACUCUCUUUUGGCUUAUUAAAUUAUGACUUCCAUCUUGGUACAAGCUAGAAAAGAAAGUUGUAAUGAGUUAUGCAUAGACGAAACGUGGGGUGGAAAGUUAAAUUCAAGGAACAACGUUUUUCUUCACUGUGGGAGAAAACUCAUUUUUGGGAAAGAAACAAAGUGUGUCUAACAGUGUUGCUGCCAUCCCCUUCUUAUUUAAAGUAUGAAAAAAAAAGAUUUGCAAUAGAGACUUGUAAAUGAUGGCUCGACCCAAAAUAUUCAGUAGCACUACAGCCACGUACAAAGGCUGAAAGAGUGACGAGACGAACGGGUUACGAAUAGCCGCUAACAGGUAUGUAGAGCUUACCUUCCCUUCUUUUGGCAUGACCUUUAUGGAAUGAACAAAUAAUGUAUACGUAUGCUUCUAAAGAAAAUUCUAUUCUUAGCGCCACUAGGAUGGCCGAUGUCUUUGAUUUCCGUAAGUAUUCCAUGCGGUUUGAUAUGUAUAUAUGAUGUUCGAAAGUCCUCGUUGGUAUAUUUCCGAAUGCGUUCAAAAGAAAAUUGAUAUGACGUAAGUCUUUGAUAAAUAUUUUGGUACGUAUAUAUGGUUCCAAAGUCUCCAUUUGGUUUGAUCCAUAAUGAUAUUUGAAAGCUACCUAAUAUGUUUGUUACUUGAAUCUCUAAAUAUGACUUGUGGAAUAUUUUUAGAAGGUUCCGAACUUCAAAAGCUCGUAAUUUUUGUAUACUAAUUCCGAUUGACCCGAUACCUGUUUCUGAGCUUCCUGAUAUCGGUAUAUACAUAUUUAUUUACCGAGUCUCGGAAUUUAUUUACUUAUAUGCAUAUGAUUUCCGCACUACUCCGCUCGUGCAUACUACUAUUACAUCGUUCGCCGGAUCCCGGGCCGGUUCUGUGAUCAUGCGCACUAUGUUAUACUCAGAGUAUGAUGUGUUACGGUUCCCGAGACCUCGCCAUAAGGCCGGGUACCGCUUAUAUACGGCGUUAUGAUGUGAUAUGGCAUAUGAUGUGUGCUGAUGAUGUGAUAUGUUUUGAUGAUAUGAUAUGUUCAGGGACUAUACGGAGAUUUGAAAUUUUCUGGAGUAUGAUGUGUUGUGGCGCCAGCGUCGGAGUGGCGACCAUGUUCCUGAGCCUUAUGCAUGAUUUUUAUUUGCAUUAUUUAUGUUUUUCAGAGCAGGCUUUGAUAUACUGAUUUUGUAAUCAUUCUCCAUACUCCCUAUUUCACUUAUGAUUUGGACUUCUGUACUCUAUGUUUUACAUACUCAGUACAUCUUUCGUACUGACCCCCUUUCUUCGGGGGCUGUGUUUCAUGCCCGCAGGUACAGACGUUCGUUCAGGUGACCCGCCAGUGUAGGAUACUUACUCUGCUGUUUGGAGCGCUCCUUUUGAUCCGGAGCUCAUAUUUUUUGUACAUAUCUUCUGUUGUACAUGUUCUGUAUAUAUGGCUAUUUGGGUAUGGCGGGGCCCUGUCCCGUUAUGUGUUUCUGUUAUGGUUUGUAGAGGCCUGUAGUCAUAUAUGUGGGUCAUGGGUCAUGUUUGUUCGGAUAUGUGUGUGGUUUGUGCCUUAAGCGGUCUCGUUUGCUAUUAUGGCCAAAACGACCCCUAUGUUCGUAUAUGUUUGUAUAUCUGGGCGAUGUGUAUUCCGCCAGCCUACCGGAUUUGAUAUGAUGUUUCUGUACGAGCAACCGCUUAAGAUGACAUUUGUUUUCAGUAUUUGUGCAAAAUAACGUAUGUUAAGUUUGAAUAAAUCUUUGAUAUGACGAUUUGG